rnacentral:rRNA from 1 species
GAGCGAACGCUGGCGGCAGGCCUAACACAUGCAAGUCGAACGAACUCUUCGGAGUUAGUGGCGGACGGGUGAGUAACACGUGGGAACGUGCCUUUUGGUUCGGAAUAACUCAGGGAAACUUGUGCUAAUACCGAAUGUGCCCUUCGGGGGAAAGAUUUAUCGCCAUUAGAGCGGCCCGCGUCUGAUUAGCUAGUUGGUGAGGUAACGGCUCACCAAGGCGACGAUCAGUAGCUGGUCUGAGAGGAUGACCAGCCACACUGGGACUGAGACACGGCCCAGACUCCUACGGGAGGCAGCAGUGGGGAAUCUUGCGCAAUGGGCGAAAGCCUGACGCAGCCAUGCCGCGUGAAUGAUGAAGGUCUUAGGAUUGUAAAAUUCUUUCACCGGGGACGAUAAUGACGGUACCCGGAGAAGAAGCCCCGGCUAACUUCGUG